rnacentral:misc_RNA from 1 species
GAUGAAGAACGCAGCGAAAUGCGAUACUUGGUGUGAAUUGCAGAAUCCCGUGAACCAUCGAGUCUUUGAACGCAAGUUGCGCCCGAAGCCAUUAGGCCGAGGGCACGCCUGCCUGGGCGUCACACGUCGUUGCCCCCCCAUCUACUCCUUCGGGAUUGCGGGGGGCGGAUGAUGGCCUCUCGUGCGCCUCGUCGCGCGGUUGGCCUAAAUGCCAAGUCCUCGGCGACGCACGCCACGACAAUCGGUGGUUGCGAAACCUCGGUUGCCUGUCGUGUGCGGUCGUCGCGCAUCGAGGGCUCGAAAAAAUUGCCGGGCUUCGGCUCGACUUUCAACGCGACCCCAGGUCAGGCGGGGUUACCCGCUGAAUUUAAGCAUAUCAAAAGGGAGGA